rnacentral:rRNA from 1 species
UAGGGGAUAGUUAUAGCCAAGACAGGUGGUGCGAUGGUUGUCGUCAGCUCGUGUCGUGAGAUGUUGGGUUAAGUCCCGCAACGAGCGCAACCCUUGUCCUUAGUUACCAUCAUUCAGUUGGGGACUCUAAGGAGGACUGCCGAUGUAAAUCGGAGGAAGGUGGGGAUGACGUCAAAUCAUCAUGCCCUUUAUGUCCUGGGCGACACACGUGCUACAAUGGCCGGUACAAAGAGACGCCAACCAGCGAUGGUGCGCAAAUCUCAAAAAGCCGGUCUCAGUUCAGAUCGAAGUCUGCAACUCGACUUCGUGAAGGCGGAAUUGCUAGUAAUCGCGAAUCAGCCAUGUCGCGGUGAAUACGUUCCCGGGGUUU